rnacentral:rRNA from 1 species
ACUCAAAGGAAUUGACGGGGGCCCGCACAAGCGGUGGAGUAUGUGGUUUAAUUCGAAGCAACGCGCAGAACCUUACCUAACCUUGACAUGGCAGGAAGUUUGCAGAAAUGUAAACGUCUCUUCGGAGACUUGCACACAGAUGCUGCAUGGCUGUCGUCAGCUCGUGUCGUAAGAUGUUUGGUUAAGUCCAAUAACGAGCGCAACCCUUGUCUUUAGUUGCCACCAUUAAGUUGGGAACUCUAGAGAGACUGCCGGUGUUAAACCGGAGGAAGGCGGGGAUGACGUCAAGUCCUCAUGGCUCUUACGGUUAGGGCUACACACGUACUACAAUGGCAGAAACAAACCGUUGCGAACCCGCGAGGGGGAGCUAAUCGGUAAAACACUGUCUCAGUCCGGAUUGGAGUCUGCAACUCGACUCCAUGAAGCUGGAAUCGCUAGUAAUCGCUAAUCAGCAGGUAGCGGUGAAUACGUUCCCGGGCCUUGUACACACCGCCCGU